GGGGGGGGGGGGGGGGGGGGGGGGGGGGGGGGGGGGGGGGGGGGGGGGGGGGGGGGGGCCAGGCUGUCCCCAACCCACCCGGUGUCCCCAAACUGUCCCCAACCCACCCCAACCUUCCCCAGUUGUGCCCAACCAGCCCCGAACUGUCCCCAAGUGUCCCCAAGUGUCCUGAGCUGUCCCAAGUGUCCCCAAACUGUCCCCAAGUGUCCCUGACCCGCCCCAGUGUCCCCAAAGUGUCCCCAGUGUCCCCACCUGUCACCAGAGUGUCGCCAACUGUCCCCAGUGUCCCCAAGCCCCCCCGCAGUGUCCCCAGCUGUCCCCAGCCCUUCGCUGGGUCCCCAGUGUGUCCCCACGGUGCCACCUCAGCCCCACAGUGCCACAUGUCCCCACUGUGCCCCACCUGGCACCUGUCCUGUCACACCUGUCACCCCUGUGUCACACCUGUCACACCUGGGUGUCAGACCUGUCUCACCUGCGCAGGUGGAGCUGGCCACAAGGCAGUUCCCGUACCAGAACUGCUGUCACUGUCACACUUGUCUCACCUGUCUCACACCUGUGUCUCACGUGGCUCACCUGUGUCUCACCUGCGUGUGUCUCGCCUGUCUCACCUGUGCAGGUGGAGCUGGCCACGGGGCAGUUCCCGUUCCAGACCUGCUGUCCUUGUCCCUGUCACACCUGUGUCUCACCUGUCUCACCUGUCACACCUGUGUCUCACCUGUGUCACACCUGUUUCACACCUGUGUCACACCUGUGUCUCCCCUGUCACACCUGUGUGUGUCUUGCCUGUCUCACCUGUGCAGGUGGAGCUGGCCACAGAGCAGUUCCUGUACCAGAACUGCUGUCCCUGUCACAUCUGUGUCUCCCCUAUCACACCUGUGUGUGUCUUGCCUGUCUCACCUGCGCAGGUGGAGCUGGCCACGGGGCAGUUCGGGGACACACCUGGGACACUGGGGACACACCUGGGACACUGGGGACACACAGGGGACAGGGGGACACACCUGGGACAGGGGGACACACCUGGGACACUGGGGACACACCUGGGACACUGGGGACACACAGGGGACAGGGGGACACACCUGGGACAGGGGGACACACCUGGGACACUGGGGACACACCUGGGACACUGGGGACACACAGGGGACAGGGGGACACACCUGGGACAGGGGGACGCACCUGGGAUACUGGGGACACACAGGGGACAUGGGGGACACACCUGGGACAGGGGGACACACCUGGGACACUGGGGACACACCUGGGACACUGGGGACACACAGGGGACAGGGGGACACACCUGGGACAGGGGGACACACCUGGGACACUGGGGACACACCUGGGACACUGGGGACACACAGGGGACAGGGGGACACACCUGGGACAGGGGGACACACCUGGGACACUGGGGACACACCUGGGACACUGGGGACACACAGGGGACAGGGGGACACACCUGGGACAGGGGGACACACCUGGGACACUGGGGACACACCUGGGACACUGGGGACACACAGGGGACAGGGGGACACACCUGGGACAGGGGGACACACCUGGGACACUGGGGACACACCUGGGACACUGGGGACACACAGGGGACAGGGGGACACACCUGGGACAGGGGGACACACCUGGGACACUGGGGACACACCUGGGACACUGGGGACACACAGGGGACAGGGGGACACACCUGGGACAGGGGGACACACCUGGGACACUGGGGACACACCUGGGACACUGGGGACACACAGGGGACAGGGGGACACACCUGGGACAGGGGGACGCACCUGGGACACUGGGGACACACCUGGGACACUGGGGACACACAGGGGACAGGGGGACACACCUGGGACAGGGGGGACACACCUGGGACAUUGGGGACACACCUGGGACACUGGGGACACACAGGGGACAGGGGGACACACCUGGGACAGGGGGACGCACCUGGGAUACUGGGGACACACAGGGGACAUGGGGGACACACCUGGGACAGGGGGACACACCUGGGACACUGGGGACACACCUGGGACACUGGGGACACACAGGGGACAGGGGGACACACCUGGGACAGGGGGGACACACCUGGGACAUUGGGGACACACCUGGGACACUGGGGACACACAGGGGACAGGGGGACACACCUGGGACAGGGGGGACACACCUGGGACAUUGGGGACACACCUGGGACACUGGGGACACACAGGGGACAGGGGGACACACCUGGGACAGGGGGGACACACCUGGGACAUUGGGGACACACCUGGGACACUGGGGACACACAGGGGACAGGGGGACACACCUGGGACAGGGGGACACACCUGGGACACUGGGGACACACCUGGGACACUGGGGACACACAGGGGACAGGGGGACACACCUGGGACAGGGGGGACACACCUGGGACAUUGGGGACACACCUGGGACACUGGGGACACACAGGGGACAGGGGGACACACCUGGGACAGGGGGGACACACCUGGGACAUUGGGGACACACCUGGGUACUGGGGACACACAGGGGACAUGGGGGACACACCUGGGACAGGGGGACACACCUGGGACACUGGGGACACACAGGGGACAGGGGGACACACCUGGGACAGGGGGACACACCUGGGACAUUGGGGACACACCUGGGACACUGGGGACACACAGGGGACAGGGGGACACACGGGACAUUGGGGACACACUGAGGACAGGGGGACACACCUGGGACAUUUGGGACACACCUGGGACACUGGGGACAGGGGGGACAGGGGGACACUGGGGACACACAGGGGACAGUGGGGAUAUGGGGGACACACAGGGGACAUGGAGGAGCACUGGGGACAGUGGGGACACGCAGGGGACACGCAGGGGACACGCAGGGGACGUUGGGGACACGAGGACAUUGGGGACACUGGGGACAGGGCUGGGGUCCCGCAGGCGCUCACCCCCCAUCCCCUCCCCCAGCCUCACCAAGGACCACAGGAAGAGACCAAAGUACAACAAGUUACUGGUGAGUGGUGCUGGCAUUGUCACUGUCACUGUCACACCUGGCAUUGUCACCUGGCACUGUCACUGUCACACCUGUCACUGGCAUUGUCACUGUCACUGUCGCACCUGGCAUUGUCACCUGGCACUGUCACUGUCACACCUGGCAUUGUCACCUGGCACUGUCAUUGUCACACCUGUCACUGGCAUUGUCACCUGGCACUGUCACACCUGUCAUUGUCACCUGUCACUGUCACACCUGUUACUGUCACCUGUCACUGGCAUUGUCACCUGUCAGUGUCAUUGUCACCUGUCACAGUCAUUGUCACUGUUACCUGUCAAUAUCAUCUGUCACACCUGUCAUCUGUCAACAUCACCUGUCAGUGUUACUGUCACCUGUUGGUAUCAUUGUCAUCUGUCAGCAUCAUACCUGUCACUGUCACCUGUCACUGUCACCUCUAUCGCUUGGUGCUCCAUCCCUGUGUCCCCAUGUCCCCCUGUCCCUGCCAUCCCCAAUGUCCCCAUGUCCCCAUCUCCCAUGUCGCCCUGUCCCUGCCACCCUCAGUGUCCCUGGUGUCCCUGUCCCUGUGUCCCUGUCCCAGUGUCCCAGUGUCCCUGUCCCAGUGUCCCUGUGUCCCUGUGUCCCAGUGUCCCAGUGUCCCAGUGUCCCUGUCCCUGUGUCCCAGUGUCCCUGUCCCUGUGUCCCUGUCCCCAUCCCGGUGCCUCCGCUGGGAGCUGCUGUGCCAGAGGUUGUGGUAGAACUGGAAGAGCAGGGCCGGAGCACAAGGUCAGGUGAAGGUGUGGGUUCCCCACAGGAGCACACCUUCAUCAAGCGCUACGAGACGCUCGAGGUGGACGUGGCCACCUGGUUCAAGGACGUGAUGGCCCGGACAGAGUCCCCGCGCCCGGGGGGUGGCCUGGGCCACCACCUGCCCUUCUUCAGCAGGUAGCGCCAGCCCGGCGCCGCCACGCCCGGCGGGGACACCGGGGACAGGGACAGCGGGGACAGCCAGGACACGGGGACACCGCUGUGGCACCGGGGACAGCCAGGACACCGGGGACGUCCCUGUGACAGCGGGGACAGGGACAGCCAGGACACCGGGGACACACGACACCGGGGACAGGGACAGUGGGGACAGCCAGGACACGGGGACACCGCUGUGGCACCGGGGACAGCCAGGACACCGGGGACGUCCCUGUGACAGCGGGGACAGGGACAGCCAGGACACCGGGGACACACAGCUGGGACACCUCCGGGGACAGCCAGGACACUUCUGUGACACUGGGGACACCCCUGUGAUAUUGGGGACAGCUGGGACACCCCCUGACACUGGGGACGGGGACAGCAGGGACACCCCUGUGACACCGGGGACACCCCGUGACAGGGACAGCAGUGCCACUCCCCUGUGUCACCCGCUGUGGCGGUGACACUGCCACGGCCACCACAGCCCUGGCGUGGCCGGGAGUGUCCCCAGCAUGUCCCCAGUCUGUCCCAGUGUGUCCCCAGCAUGUCCCCAGUCUGUCCCAGUUUGUCCUAGUCUGUCCCCAGCAUGCCCCCAGCGUGUCCCAGUGUCCCCUCCCGCUGUCCCCACCGUCCCGAGGCCAGGGGACAUCCCUGUCCCCCUCCAUGUCCCCCUGGCUGUGCCUCAGUUUCCCACAGGAUCCUGCUGGGGACAGGACGGGGAGGUGGCACCGAGGGUGUGGCACUCGGAGGUGUCACUCAGAGGUGACACUGGGAUGUGACACUCGGAGGUGACGCGGGGCUGUCCUGGGAGGUGCCCAGGGACACGGACACGGCUGGGGGAUGUGACACGGGUGUGACAGCGGGGCCUGGGGAUGUGGCACUCGGCCCCGAGGGGACACGGAGGGGACACGGAGGUGGCACCAGGACACGGAGACGGGACAGGGGACAGCGCGGAGAGCUCUGCAGCCACGGGGAUGUGACAGCGAGGGACACGGAGAUGGCACCGGGAUGUGACACGGGGAUGUGACAGCGAGGGACACGGAGAUGGCACCGGGAUGUGACACGGGGAUGUGUGACAGCGAGGGACACGGAGAAGGGGACAGCGCGGAGAGCUCUGCAGCCACGGGGAUGUGACAGCGAGGGACACGGAGAUGGCACCGGGAUGUGACACGGGGAUGGCACCGGGAUGUGACACGGGGACACAGAGAUGGCACCGGGAAGUGACACAGGAUGGAGAUGGCACCAGGAUGGCACCAGGAUGUGACAUGGGGACACAAGAUGGAGGUGGCACCGGGAAGUGACACGGGCUGGAGAUGGCACUGGCAUGUGACACAGGGAUGGCACCGGGAAGUGACACAGGAUGGAGGUGGCACCACGACGGGACACGGGGACACAGGACACAGAGAUGGCACCGGGACGUGGCACACAAAUAUCCCCAGGCUGUGACAUGGGGAUGGCACCAGGAUGGCACAGGACACAGGUGUCCCCAGGCUGUGACAAUGGGGACACGGACACGUCACGGGUGUGACAUCGCAGGCCCGGUCCCGGGGCUGUGGCACCGGGAUGUGACACUGGGAUGUGACACCGGGAUGUGACAAUGGGGACACGGCCCGGGCUGUGACACCGGGAUGUGACACCUGGAUGUGACACCGGGAUGUGACACCGGGAUGUGACACCGGGAUGUGACACCGGGAUGUGACACCGGGAUGUGACACCGGGAUGUGACACCGGGAUGUGACACCGGGAUGUGACACCGGGAUGUGACACCGGGAUGUGACACCGGGAUGUGACACCGGGAUGUGACACCGGGAUGUGACACCGGGAUGUGACACCGGGAUGUGACACCGGGAUGUGACACCGGGAUGUGACACCGGGAUGUGACACCGGGAUGUGACACCGGGAUGUGACACCGGGAUGUGACACCGGGAUGUGACACCGGGAUGUGACACCGGGAUGUGACACCGGGAUGUGACACCGGGAUGUGACACCGGGAUGUGACACCGGGAUGUGACACCUGGUGGCCCCGGCGAGAUCGGAAGAGCGUCGUGUAAAUGCGCAUGUGGAACCCAAGGGGUCGCGUCGGCGUCAGGCUGUGGGGACACGGGGGGACACUGGGGACGUUGGGGACACCGGGAAGGGACGCUGGGGGCAGGGGACAGUGACACGGGUGGGGGUGGCACAGCUGGACCUUGGGGACCUUGGGGGGGGGGGGGGGGGGGGGGGGGGGGGGGGGGGGGGGGGGGGGGGGGGGGGGGGGGGGGGGGGGGGGGGGGGGGGGGGGGGGGGGGGGGGGGGGGGGGGGGGGGGGGGGGG
ensembl:lncRNA